rnacentral:rRNA from 1 species
GAUCGUGUCAGGAUGAACGCUAGCGACAGGCUAACACAUGCAAGUCGAGGGGCAGCACGGGAGUAGCAAUACGUUGGUGGCGACCGGCGCACGGGUGAGUAACGCGUAUGCAACCUACCUAUCAGGAGGGGAAUAACCCGGCGAAAGUCGGACUAAUACCGCAUAAAACAGGGGCACCGCAUGGUGAUAUUGUUAAAGAAAUUCGCUGAUAGAUGGGCAUGCGUUCCAUUAGGUAGUUGGUGAGGUAACGGCUCACCAAGCCGACGAUGGAUAGGGGAACUGAGAGGUUGGUCCCCCACACUGGUACUGAGACACGGACCAGACUCCUACGGGAGGCAGCAGUGAGGAAUAUUGGUCAAUGGGCGGGAGCCUGAACCAGCCAAGUCGCCGUGAAGGGAAGAAGGAUCUAUGGUUCGUAAACUUCUUUUACAGGGGAAUAAAGUGCAGGACGUGUCCUGUUUUGUAUGUACCCUGAGAAUAAGGAUCGGCUAACUCCGUGCCAGCAGCCGC